UACGUAGGGCGCAAGCGUUGUCCGGAAUUAUUGGGCGUAAAGAGCUCGUAGGCGGUUUGUCGCGUCUGCCGUGAAAGUCCGGGGCUCAACUCCGGAUCUGCGGUGGGUACGGGCAGACUAGAGUGAUGUAGGGGAGACUGGAAUUCCUGGUGUAGCGGUGAAAUGCGCAGAUAUCAGGAGGAACACCGAUGGCGAAGGCAGCUCGCUGGGAAGGUACUGACGCUGAGGAGCGAAAGCGUGGGGAGCAAACAGG
rnacentral:rRNA from 1 species